GAACCCCCCUUUUAUUGAAAGAAAACUGAGGUCUAUUCUUCCUCUAGUUCUCAUUCUUCUUUUCCUGCUGGUCAUUUUUGACCUUCUUCGCAUCCUUUUUAUCGAACACAACACUGCAUCGACGAUACAUCAUCACUUCUAAAUCUUCAGCUUUGCACCUUGUAACGGUAAAUUCAUGACCAUCAAGCUAUGGAUAAGCUUAACAUCAAUAAAACCAGAGUC
rnacentral:lncRNA from 1 species